rnacentral:rRNA from 1 species
UCGAGGGGUAUAGUUCUUCGGGACUAGAGACCGGCGCACGGGUGCGUAACGCGUAUGCAAUCUACCUUUUACAGAGGGAUAGCCCAGAGAAAUUUGGAUUAAUACCUCAUAGUAUAUAGCCCUGGCAUCAGGAUUAUAUUAAAGUCACAACGGUAAAAGAUGAGCAUGCGUCCCAUUAGCUAGUUGGUAAGGUAACGGCUUACCAAGGCUACGAUGGGUAGGGGUCCUGAGAGGGAGAUCCCCCACACUGGUACUGAGACACGGACCAGACUCCUACGGGAGGCAGCAGUGAGGAAUAUUGGACAAUGGGCGCAAGCCUGAUCCAGCCAUGCCGCGUGCAGGAUGACGGUCCUAUGGAUUGUAAACUGCUUUUAUACGAGAAGAAACACUCCUUCGUGAAGGAGCUUGACGGUAUCGUAAGAAUAAGGAUCGGCUAACUCCGUGCCAGCAGCCGCGGUAAUACGGAGGAUCCAAGCGUUAUCCGGAAUCAUUGGGUUUAAAGGGUCCGUAGGCGGUUUAAUAAGUCAGUGGUGAAAGCCCAUCGCUCAACGGUGGAACGGCCAUUGAUACUGUUAGACUUGAAUUAUUAGGAAGUAACUAGAAUAUGUAGUGUAGCGGUGAAAUGCUUAGAGAUUACAUGGAAUA